CAGCAGCCGCGGUAAUACGAAGGGUGCAAGCGUUAAUCGGAAUUACUGGGCGUAAAGCGUGCGUAGGCGGUGAGUUAAGUCUGCUGUGAAAUCCCCGGGCUCAACCUGGGAAUGGCAGUGGAUACUGGCUCGCUAGAGUGUGUCAGAGGAUGGUGGAAUUCCCGGUGUAGCGGUGAAAUGCGUAGAGAUCGGGAGGAACAUCAGUGGCGAAGGCAGCCCCCUGGGCCAAUACUGACGCUCAUGCACGAAAGCGUGGGGAGCAAACAGGAUUAGAUACCCGCGUAGUCCCUGUCUCUUAUAC
rnacentral:rRNA from 1 species